AUGCAAGCUAAAGGGGCAGCAUAAUAGUAGUAAUACUACUGGUGGCGACCGGCAGACGGGUGCGUAACGCGUAUACAACCUACCCUCUAAAUGGGGGAUAACCCGGAGAAAUUCGGACUAACUACCCCGUAGGUAUAUCACUGGCAUCAGUUAUAUAUGAUAGAUUUAUCGAUUAAGGAUGGGUAUGCGUGACAUUAGGAAGUUGGUGAGGUAACGGCUCACCAAUCCGACGAUGUCUAGGGGUUCUGAGAGGAAGGUCCCCCACACUGGUACUGAGACACGGACCAGACUCCUACGGGAGGCAGCAGUGAGGAAUAUUGGUCAAUGGACGCAAGUCUGAACCAGCCAUGCCGCGUGCAGGAAGAAUGCUCUAUGAGUUGUAAACUGCUUUUAUACAAGAAUAAUAAGCUAUACGUGUAUGGUGAUGAAUGUAUUGUAUGAAUAAGGACCGGCUAACUCCGUGCCAGCAGCCGCGGUAAUACGGAGGGUCCGAGCGUUAUCCGGAUUUAUUGGGUUUAAAGGGUGCGCAGGCGGGACCUUUAAGUUA
rnacentral:rRNA from 1 species